CCUACGGGUGGCAGCAGUGGGGGAUAUUGCACAAUGGGGGGAACCCUGAUGCAGCGACGCCGCGUGGGUGAAGAAGGGCCUCGGCGCGGAAAGCCCUGUCAGCAGGGAAGAAAAUGACGGUACCUGAAGAAGAAGCCCCGGCUAACUACGUGCCAGCAGCCGCGGUAAUCCGUAGGGGGCAAGCGUUCUCCGGAUUUACUGGGUGUAAAGGGGGCGCAGACGGCGAUGCAAGCCAGGAGUGAAAGCCAGGGGCCCAACCACGGGACUGCUCUUGGAACUGCGUGGCUGGAGUGCAGGAGGGGCCGGCGGACUUCCUGGUGUAGCGGUGACAUGCUUCGAUAUCAGGAGGAACCCC
rnacentral:rRNA from 1 species